GGGACUGCAAAUUGCUGUUCUCAGCUUUUUUCUCUCCUCUCCUCCACCCCCGCCUCCCCCGAAAAAAGGCAGUGCUUUCUCUUAGGCUCUUAAAAAUGAUUCAGAAUUUUAACCAUCUGCUGUACCCGGAGCUCUUCGCUGGUGCUGCACAGCUGAAAUUUUGCAAAGGGAAGAAAUAGCAAAGCUUUCCAAAACAGAAAACUGUUUAGCUUCUCUGUUAAAUAGGAAUGCAGACAGUCUGGAGUUAUUUUUUUUCAGUGCCUGACUUGGAAAGUAUUUAAUGGUCAGUGGAAAAAAAUGAGGAAGAGGAGGGUGUGGCUGCUGCUGGAAGGCUCUGGCCCGGCAAAGGGUCCCUGGCUUGUAGGGAUGUGGUCCCAAAUCGGCACAAAAUGAAGACUUCUUUUAGCAGGAGUUACUGGAACUGCAGCACGGCCGGGCAGCUCCAAGGAGCCCACAUGUGCCACCCCGUGCCUUGUGCACU
rnacentral:lncRNA from 1 species